rnacentral:misc_RNA from 1 species
AAAAUGCGAUACUUGGUGUGAAUUGCAGAAUCCCGUGAACCAUCGAGUUUUUGAACGCACGUUGCGCCCGAAGCCAUCCGGCUGAGGGCACGCCUGCCUGGGCGUCACGCAUCGCGUCGCUCCCCACCAUACCUCCCCAACGGGUUGGCAUGGUGUUGGGGGCGGAUAAUGGCCUCCCGUGCUUGUGUUUCGGUUGGCCUAAAUAAGAGUUCCCUUCGGCGGACACACUACUAGUGGUGGUUGAAUAGACCCUCGUCUUUUGUUGCGUGUCGUGAGCUGUAAGGGUAGCCCUCAUCAAAGACCCCAUUGUAUCGUCUUCGGAUGAUGCUUCGACCGCGACCCCAGGUCAGGCGGGACUACCCGCUGAGUUCAAGC